UAGGGAAUCUUCGGCAAUGGACGGAAGUCUGACCGAGCAACGCCGCGUGAGUGAAUAAGGUUUUCGGAUCGUAAAGCUAUGUUGUUCGAGAAGAACGCUGGUAGGAGUGGAAAAUCUACCAAGUGACGGUAACUAACCAGAAAGGGACGGCCAACUACGUGCCAGCAGCCGCGGUAAUACGUAGGUCCCGAGCGUUGUCCGGAUUUAUUGGGCGUAAAGCUAGCGCAGUCGGUUCUUUAAGUCUGAAGUUAACGGCAGUGGCUUACCCAUUGUACGCUUUGCAAACGGGAGGACUUGACUGCAUAAUGUGUGACUCGAAUUCCAUGUGUAGCGCUGAACUGCGUAGUUAUAUGGCGGAACACCGGUCGCGGAAGCGGCUAUCUGGUCUGUAACUGACGCUGAGGCUCGAAAGCGUGGGGAGCAAACAGG
rnacentral:rRNA from 1 species